AUAGAAAGGACCUUGCAGGGAAGAAGUGAGAAGCAGAAUCUGGGGAGCACAGCUGGACUUGUGACCCCACAGGGGACCCACAUUGGAUCAGUCUGUUCCUGAAGGACUGCACCCCAUGGAAGGGACUCACGCUGGAGCAGCUUGUGAGGAACUGCGGCCAGCGCGAAGGACUCAUGUUGGAGAAGUUGGUGAAGGACUGUCUCCUGUGGGAGGGACCCUAUGCUGGAGCAGAGGAAGAGUGUGAGGAGUCCUCCCACUGAGGAGGAAGGAGCAGCAAAGACCAUGUGUGAUAAACUGACCUCAGACCCCAUUGCCUGUCUCCCUGCACUGCUGAGGGGAAGGAGGCAGAGAGUUCAGGAGUGAAGAUGAGUCCAGGGAGAAGAGAGCAAUGUGGGGAAGAUGGUUUUAAGAUUUCAUUUUUUGUCUCAUUAUCCUACUCUGAUUUGAUUGAUAAUAAAUUAAAUUAAUUUGCCUGA